GACGAACGCUGGCGGCGUGCUUAACACAUGCAAGUCGAACGAUGAAGGGGAGCUUGCUCCCUGGAUUAGUGGCGAACGGGUGAGUAACACGUGAGCAACCUGCCCCUAACUCUGGGAUAACGCUUCGAAAGGAGUGCUAAUACCGGAUAUGAGCCUGGAAGACAUCUUCUGGGUUGGAAAGUUUUUCGGUUAGGGAUGGGCUCGCGGCCUAUCAGCUUGUUGGUGAGGUAAAGGCUCACCAAGGCGACGA
rnacentral:rRNA from 1 species